UACGUAGGGCGCAAGCGUUAUCCGGAAUUAUUGGGCGUAAAGAGCUUGUAGGCGGUUUGUAGCGUCUGCCGUGAAAAUCCGGGGCUCAACCCCGGACUUGCGGUGGGUACGGGCAGACUAGAGUGUGGUAGGGGAGACUGGAAUUCCUGGUGUAGCGGUGAAAUGCGCAGAUAUCAGGAGGAACACCGAUGGCGAAGGCAGGUCUCUGGGCCACUACUGACGCUGAGAAGCGAAAGCGUGGGGAGCGAACAGG
rnacentral:rRNA from 1 species